AUAGUUGUUCAUUUUCUGGAGGGCAGAUGAAGGGAACCUUAACAGUCAGGAGUCUGGUCAGGUUGAACUAUUGCCUUUGAUACAGCAUCUUUGAGAUUUCAUCCAGGAAGCUGUUUAUCUCAAGGGUGUCCCUCUUUUGCUGCCUCUGCUGAGUAGCAGUGGCUUAUGGAGGUGCUGCAGCUUGACAGCCCACUCACAAGCUGAACGACAUGGUUUGGAGUGUAGCAUCUGUAACCUGAACAGCAUUGGUUCCUAAAGCUGCCUUUGCAUGAAUUUGCACCACAUACCUUUUGCUGUUUGUUUGUAAAUUCUCAAAUCUAUUGCCACAUGCAAGUGAUGGUUAGGAGAAUGAAUUAUAUGAUUUAGAGAAAGCUGUGCUACUGUCUCUCUCACAGUGAAAUCUACAGCUUAUAAACACGUUGAUAAUACUUAUUACACUGUAGUUUUUAUUUUGACUUGGAAACCUGAAAAAUAUCAUUAACUACUAUUAUUUCAUCAUUUAAAAUAUCUUUCUUGUGGGGAACUUUUUUUUUUAACAACUGGGCUCAGAGCCUACAUUUUUCUUUUAUUCUUAUACAUUUAAUUAGCUGAGUGUGUUUUAUUGUUGGGUGUAUAGAGGUCAAAGGACAACCUAUGGGAGUUGGUUUCUUUUUUUCCAUCAUGUUCCUCCUGGGAACUAAACUCAGGUCUCCAGGCUUGGCGGCAAAUGCCUUUAGCCACUAAGCUAUCUUGCUGGUCCAAAAAGCUCACAGUUUUCUUUCCUGGGUAAGACAAAUGUUUUAAAUUUCCAGUCUCAUCUUAGAAGAAGGCAGGCAUUAUCUGUCUUUGUCUGUUGAGUAGUAAGAUUUGGUGGUAAGGAAGAAAAGAACAAAUGAGAUUGGCGAAAAGGGUAUUGGGAAAGAGAAGAUCUAAGAAACAGUAGCAACCACCAAUAAAUAUUUCAUGGUGCUGCUCUAUGUCGGUGGCUACACCAGAUCAAGUUGCUUAGCCAUAAGUCUGGCUUUAGUUGAAGGCAGAGGAGAGGUGACUUUCAUCAUCACGUUGUGACUUUGCUUUGUCUGGAGAACCAAUGCCAAGCGGAAAAGGCACUUGCCAGUCGUUUCCUGGUCAAAACUUGUCUCUUGCUUCUUACAUUUCUAGGGAAGCAGACAGCAUGGUAGUUUUCUUUAUUCUUGCAUACAUACUUCUGGGUGUACAUGUAUGUCUUUCUGUGUAUAUGUAGAUACUUGCCUGUUAUACACAUUUAUACUGGGGUUGAAGGUAGUAGUGUCUCUGUUAUAUUCGUUUACUCUGUUUUCCAACAGAAAGAUAUUACACAUUUAUCAAGUCCCACACUUUCGAAUUUGUAGUCUAAAAUAAUCAGACUUUGGUAAAAGAAAUAUGGGAAUGUGUUUUUAUCACAAGCUGAGUGAGGAAUAGAGCUACAUUUUAUUGUGUGGUCUCAGUAAAUCCCCAAAGUUUUCCUGUCCUCUUUUUUUUUGUUUGUUUGUUUGUUUGUUUGUUUUUGUUUUUUGUUUUGUUUUGUUUUUGAAAGCAGCAAUUGCAGCUUUGGGCUAAUGAUUAAGGAUGAAAAGGCUCUUAUAGAAACCUUGCAUUUAGCAUUUGCACAGCAAGGAAUUGUAGUGAUAAACUUCAUAUAGAAUAAACAGACCCUGGGGCCAUUUGAAUAUGUUAACAAAUGGUGUUACUCAUCUUAUUAACCAGUUCCUAGAAAUAUAGAAUGCCACGUAUGAGACUAUACCAGGAAUUUCCUGGUAGAAAUGUCUAAUUCUUCCCCUUUGUGGAUCCUGUGCUCAUCUUCUUGGAGAGGCGCCAGGGAAGCAUUUUUCUUUAUAGGUAUGCUGAUGUUCACUGAUGUUCAUGCUAGGUUCAUCAGUCACUUUAACACUUCAGUAGCAUCAAUAAUCUGUCUUUGUGUUUGUAAGCUUCCGUGCUGCUUAUGAAUUUACAAGCAGCCAAAGUUGGUUAUUGAGCAUUGUGGGCAGGGGAGGAAGUGCAUCCUUGGAUCUCCCUCUCCCGUACUCCCUGCACUAUGGAAACUGAUGAAGAGCCAAAGAAGACAGGGAGGUACUUUAUCCUUGUUAUGGUGAUAGCUUGGUACACAGUUAUUGAGUUACAGUGCUGUGGCUUCUUUCAAGAUCAAAUUUGCACAUAAUUGCAACUGUUACAAUGACAAUUUAUUAGACUUAAAAUGUGUGGCUCUCCAGAAUGCCACUCUUAAUGGAGAGAAAUACAAGUUUGGCAGCGUGGAUCAAGAAGCUUUAGACUUCACACAAUGACAGAAACAGAAGUGUGUUUCAGAACCUCCACCGGGCAACAUAGGCAGUGUAUAGGGGCCAUGGCCUGCAGAUCUGUCCUCUAGAGCACUCUCUGUGGAGAGCAGGUCUAUGCAGUGCCUGUCAUGAAAAAGAAACACCAGGAGACAGCACACAGAAGUCCUUUCACAGUGGUUUCCCAUACAUCUCUUCUGAAACACUAUAUGGACAUUCUUUCUGAAUCAUGAAACAUUUGAUUCAGUUUGAAGUCUUUAAAAAAAAAAAGAUCUGGAACUGUUUCAGGCCUUCAGUAAACACUGACUGCAUCAUAAUGAGAGACAUUAUGGUUCAUAGAUAGUCAGUAUAUAAUGUGAAGGAAGAACUAGUAAUUAUCAAUCAUCUACUAUAGACUGGGCAUGGGCUGUCAUUCAUAAACAUUGUGUAACCUAGAGCACUUACAGGGCUUUGAAAAGUCCUAAGAGGAAGCUGAAGUCAGUGAAGCUUAUGACUUAGAAAGGCACUGGGUGUUUCCCUGUAGUGAGAUACCUCUUGUAUUUGCUUUUCUUCUUUCUGACAAAAAAGUAAAAGGUGGGAAUAAAGCAAAAUGACAGACAGGCCCAUGGACAGUGGUCUUCUGUUCCUCCCUAGAUGCUUGAAGAUUGCUGUCAUCAUGAUUGAUACAAUUACUCCCCCAAAACACACACACUCAUACUCACAAACCAGGAAGUUUAUUACCAACAGGCAAUUGGCCUUUACACCAGGAGACAGCAAUGCCAAAAGACCAAAACGUGGCAAACAAAAAUAGGCAAAAGACUGUACCAGAUUCAUCUACAAGUAACCAGCUUUGUACUUGGAUUCAGAACAUGUUUGGUGAUAGCAAAAUAACUGGCUGCCACUUGUGAUUCCUUGGACUGAACAGAGCCUUGCAAGGCAUGGCCUUUGUACAGAGAACCUCAAGAAAACAGUG
rnacentral:lncRNA from 1 species